rnacentral:rRNA from 1 species
GAUGAACGCUGGCGGCGUGCCAAUACAUGCAAGUCGAGCGAACAGACGAGGAGCUUGCUCCUCUGACGUUAGCGGCGGACGGGUGAGUAACACGUGGAUAACCUACCUAUAAGACUGGGAUAACUUCGGGAAACCGGAGCUAAUACCGGAUAAUAUAUUGAACCGCCUGGUUCAAUAGUGAAAGACGGUUUUGCUGUCACUUAUAGAUGGAUCCGCGCCGCAUUAGCUAGUUGGUAAGGUAACGGCUUACCAAGGCAACGAUGCGUAGCCGACCUGAGAGGGUGAUCGGCCACACUGGAACUGAGACACGGUCCAGACUCCUACGGGAGGCAGCAGUAGGGAAUCUUCCGCAAUGGGCGAAAGCCUGACGGAGCAACGCCGCGUGAGUGAUGAAGGUCUUCGGAUCGUAAAACUCUGUUAUUAGGGAAGAACAAAUGUGUAAGUAACUAUGCACGUCUUGACGGUACCUAAUCAGAAAGCCACGGCUAACUACGUG